AUUGAACGCUGGCGGCAGGCCUAACACAUGCAAGUCGAGCGGAUGAAGGGAGCUUGCUCCUGGAUUCAGCGGCGGACGGGUGAGUAAUGCCUAGGAAUCUGCCUGGUAGUGGGGGAUAACGUCCGGAAACGGGCGCUAAUACCGCAUACGUCCUGAGGGAGAAAGUGGGGGAUCUUCGGACCUCACGCUAUCAGAUGAGCCUAGGUCGGAUUAGCUAGUUGGUGGGGUAAAGGCCUACCAAGGCGACGAUCCGUAACUGGUCUGAGAGGAUGAUCAGUCACGCUGGAACUGAGACACGGUCCAGACUCCUACGGGAGGCAGCAGUGGGGAAUAUUGCACAAUGGGCGAAAGCCUGAUCCAGCCAUGCCGCGUGUGUGAAGAAGGUCUUCGGAUUGUAAAGCACUGUAAGUUGGGAGGAAGGGCAGUAAGUUAAUACCUUGCUGUUUUGACGGUACCAACAGAAUAAGCACCGGCUAACUUCGUG
rnacentral:rRNA from 1 species